rnacentral:rRNA from 1 species
GACUAGCCGGUACUGCGAAUGCAUCUAANUUAAGUUGAUCAUGGCUCAGCAUCCAACGCUGUCGGCAGGCCUAACACAUGCAAGUCGAGCGGAUGACGGGAGCUUGCUCCUUGAUUCAGCGGCGGACGGGUGAGUAAUGCCUAGGAAUCUGCCUAGGCUAGCUAGGGGGACAACGUUUCGAAAGGAACGCUAAUACCGCAUACGUCCUACGGGAGAAAGCAGGGGACCUUCGGGCCUUGCGCUAUCAGAUGACGACCUACGUCGGAUUAGCUAGUUGGUGAGGUAAUGGCUCACCAAGGCGACGAUCCGUAACUGGUCUAGAGAGGAUGAUCAGUCACACUGGAACUGAGACACGGUCCAGACUCCUACGGGAGGCAGCAGUGGGGAAUAUCGGACAAAGGGCGAAAGCCUGAUACCAGCCAUGCCGCGUGUGUGAAGAAGGUCUUCGGAUUGUAAAGCACUUNAAGCUUGGGAGGAACGGGCAGCUAAGUUAAUACCUUGCCUGUCAUUCGACGUUACCGACAGAAUAAGCACCGGCAUAACUCUGUGCCAGCAAGCCCNGCACGCGGUCAAUAACAACGNANGAGGUUGCCAAGACCGUAAAAAUCCGGGCAAUUAAACUNGGGACGGUAAACAGCAGCGCCGGGUAAACGGNGCGACAACAGGACAANCCGUACGGCACUGUGAAAAAGCCCCGGGGGCAUUCACACACCCNAGNAGAACCUAGGAAUCCAANCAACUGGCGA